CCUAACACAUGCAAGUCGAACGGGAAGCGGUGCAUAUUGCUUCGGUGAUAAUGUGCCGUGGAGAGUGGCGAACGGGUGCGUAACACGUAGGUAACCUGCCCUGAAAGGGGGGAUAACCACGGGAAACUGUGGCUAAUACCGUAUAAUCUCGCCGUGGCGGUGGUUACGGUGAGGAAAGCUGAGGCGAUUUGGGAGGGGCCUGCGGUCGAUUAGCUGGUUGGUGGGGUAAAGGCCCACCAAGGCGAUGAUCGAUAGCUGUUCUGAGAGGAAGACCAGCCACACGGGAACUGAGACACGGUUCCGACUCCUACGGGGGGCAGCAGUGAGGAAUAUUGCGCAAUGGGGGGAACCCUGACGCAGCAACGCCGCGUGGAGGACGAAGGUUUUCGGAUUGUAAACUCCUUAACUGGGGGAAGAGAGAGGACGGUACCCCAGGACGAAGACACGGCUAACUAGGUGCCAGCAGCCGCGGUAAUACCUAGGUGUCGAGCGUUAUCCGGAAUUACUGGGCGUAAAGGGUGCGCAGGCGGUGUUACAAGUCCGGCGUGAAAGCUUCUGGCUUAACUGGGAGAGGACGUCGGAAACUGUAGUGCUAGAGUGAAUGAGAGGGGGGC
rnacentral:rRNA from 1 species